AAGUGAAUCCGAUCUGAUCCGAACCGAACCGGAUCCGAACCGAACCAUAAAAGAUUCGACUUGAACCAAGGUGAAUCCGAUCUGAACUGAACCGAACCGGAUCCGAACUAAACCGAAUCAUAAAGGAUUCGACUUGAACCGAUGCUGAUCCAAUCCGAACUCAACCGAACCAGAUCCGGUCUGAAUCAAAUCAUAAAGGAUUCAACUUGAACCGAAGUGAGUCCGAUCCGAACCAAACCAUGAAGGAUUCGACUCUAACCGAAAUGGAUCCAAUCCAAAUCAUACCACAGGGGAUUGAACCCGAACCGAAGUGAAGUGGAUCCAACCCGAACU
rnacentral:lncRNA from 1 species